rnacentral:rRNA from 1 species
GACGAACGCUGGCGGCGUGCUUAACACAUGCAAGUCGAACGGAAAGGCCCUGCUUUUGUGGGGUUCUCGUGUGGCGAACGCGUGUGUAUCACGUGUGUAACCUCCCCUUUUCUUUGGGAUACCUUCAGGAAACUGGGGCUAAUACCCGAUAUGAGCUCCUGCUGCAUGGUGGUGGUUGGUAAGUUUCGGCGGUUGGGGAUGGACUCGAGGCUUAUCAGCUUGUUGGUGGGGUAGUGGCUUACCAAGGCUUUGACGGGUAGCUGGCAUGAGAGGGUGACCGGCCACAAUGGGACUGAGAUACGGCCCAGACGCCAACGGGAGGAAGCAGUGGGGAAUAGUGCAAAAUGGGCGGAAGCAGGAUGCAGCAACGCCGCGUGCGGGAUGACGGCCUUCGGGGUGUAAAGCGCUUUCGAGUGUGACGAAGCGUGAGUGACGGUAAUGGGUAAAGAAGCACCGGCUAACUACGUG